UCUUUAUUGUUCUACAUUAUCUUGUAAAUUACGAUACAGAAUAAUAUUUCACGAGAGACUUCAUCUAUUGUCUGUUUUAAUGAGCUGUCCUUGGAAAAGCCUAGAGAUAUCUGUGCCACUAGCUUAUUGUGAUUUAAUUUCCCCAUGCAUAAAAUGUUUGGCUGGCACACACAAUCAGAUUAAACUCUGUCUUCUGUCAAUGAAUCAUAACAAAUGGCCGAGGUUCACUGGUGAUUCCAUCCAUGUCUCCAAACAUCUCUUCCUCAAGCCUGCUUCUCCUUCUUCUUUUUUUUUCUUUAUUGCAAGGUGAUACUCAUCCAUCAUCAGCGUUUAAACAGCUUCACUGCCAGAGGG